CUGGGCGCGGGCGGAGACAACAGUCUCGGCGGUGCGGCGCGGCGCUGCGCGUCCCGUCCGCAGGUCUUGGAGUUAAGUCAACAGGAGAAGAGUCAAGUGAGGUUACAGAUGAGCAACACUUCCCAACAAACAACGUUAUGAAGCAGGUACAAGUGUAACCGAAAGUGGGGUCUGGCUGCUCGCCGCUCAAAAGCCAAUAAAGAGGCAAGUUUUUCCAGGCAAAAGGCAGGCUGAGGACAUGGGGGACAAGGACUAAGCUAGCAGCUUUAAAACAGAACACUGUUGGACAAAGCACCUCACCACGAAUGGCUUCCCCACCAUCACCCCUCAGCUGGCUUCUCAGCAAGUCCCAGAGACAAGACACUUCACCUUCCAGGGAGCUAUGCUGCACAUCUUUCAACAACUGGAUCUCAGGUUGGGGGCUGGGGAGGCCACUUCCUUGGGUGCUCUAUCUCAGCUCUAGGGGUAGUGGCUGCUUCUUAUUUCUGCUCUUCCUUAAAGAGUUCGCUUCAGUUUUUCCUAGCCAAUCCCUUAUUACCCUAAUCCCUAAUCUUUUCCUGUUCAAGUUACUAUGUGACUUCUGUCUCAUUGAACCCUCACUGAUAUACCAGCUAUUUUAAUUGGAUAUUUGUAUUUUUAUACUCUACGUUAUUUGUUUAUAUAUAUGUAUUUACCAUGUUUUGAGCAAUAAUUGAAAUUUUCUUAUUUUGCAAAUACUAAAUGCCUUUCUAUGCUUGCAUCUGCACAGAUUUUAGCACUGGUCUAAAUUCAGGUAAUUCAAAAAUACCAGAAGGCAUCAUGUGAGUCUUUAAAUCUGCCUACAGUUCAUCUACUUAGCUUCGAAGAGUUGUCUCUGAUGAAUGUGACAUUUAUUCAAAAUUCAAAGCUGUUCAAAAAUUUAAAACUAUUGAUGAUUUUACUCCAUAGUAUAUUCU